GUGCUCACCUUGACAGGACAUGCACUGAAUUUGGAAUGACACAGAGAUUAGCAUGCCCACUGCUUAAAGUUAGUAUGACAAUUUAUGAAGUGUUUCAUAAUUUA
rnacentral:snRNA from 1 species